rnacentral:rRNA from 1 species
AGCGAACGCUGGCGGCAGGCCUAACACAUGCAAGUCGAACGAAGUCUUCGGACUUAGUGGCGGACGGGUGAGUAACACGUGGGAACGUGCCUUUAGGUUCGGAAUAACUCAGGGAAACUUGUGCUAAUACCGAAUGUGCCCUUCGGGGGAAAGAUUUAUCGCCUUUAGAGCGGCCCGCGUCUGAUUAGCUAGUUGGUGAGGUAAAGGCUCACCAAGGCGACGAUCAGUAGCUGGUCUGAGAGGAUGAUCAGCCACAUUGGGACUGAGACACGGCCCAAACUCCUACGGGAGGCAGCAGUGGGGAAUCUUGCGCAAUGGGGGAAAGCUUGACGCAGCCAUGCCGCGUGAAUGAUGAAGGUCUUAGGAUUGUAAAAUUCUUUCACCGGGGACGAUAAUGACGGUACCCUGAGAAGAAGCCCCGGCUAACUUCGUGCCAGCCGCCGCCGUAA